rnacentral:rRNA from 1 species
GAUGAACGCUAGCGGCAUGCUUAACACAUGCAAGUCGAGGGGUAUAGUUCUUCGGAGCUAGAGACCGGCGCACGGGUGCGUAACGCGUAUGCAAUCUACCUUUUGCAGAGGGAUAGCCCAGAGAAAUUUGGAUUAAUACCUCAUGGUAUGUGAGAAUGGCAUCAUUUUCACAUUAAAGUCACAACGGCAAAAGAUGAGCAUGCGUCCCAUUAGCUAGUUGGUAAGGUAACGGCUUACCAAGGCAACGAUGGGUAGGGGUCCUGAGAGGGAGCUCCCCCACACUGGUACUGAGACACGGACCAGACUCCUACGGGAGGCAGCAGUGAGGAAUAUUGGACAAUGGGCGCAAGCCUGAUCCAGCCAUGCCGCGUGCAGGAUGACGGUCCUAUGGAUUGUAAACUGCUUUUGUACAGGAAGAAACACUGGUUCGUGAACCAGCUUGACGGUACUGUAAGAAUAAGGAUCGGCUAACUCCGUGCCAGCCGCCGCCGUAAGAC